rnacentral:sRNA from 1 species
CCACCGACACAAGAGGAAUUGCAGCACCGGGCGGAACGAGAAAAGCAGUACCGGAUGUCACUGGCGACAAAAGCUAUUGCGCCACUACAGGAUGCUGCCGACUUAGAUAUGGCCUCGGAUGAAGAAAAAAAGGCCUUAAUUAACUGGCGUAAAUAUCGGGUAUUGCUGAACCGGGUUAAUUGCGCAAU